GUGGCGGUCUCAGCCCGGGGCGUGGCCUGCGUGUUCCCAGCCCCCUGAGCACUAGGUGUUCAGCAGUUGAAUGGUUGGCACUGCGGGGACAUGUCUCAGCCUUUGAGUCAAUGACGACUGUGGCGAGGAAGGGAAGCAGCUUUCUGCC